ACUCGAGGAGUAGGGGCGGCGCGCGCGAGAGAGAGAGAGAGAGAGGGGCAAGAGAGAGAAAGAGAAAUAGAGGAGUGAGAGCAUGAGAGUGUGGGUGGAGGGACAGGUUCAACCUAUCCGUGGGAAAUAGAAGGAGAGAGAGGGGAUGCCGGUGGUCGGGCCUUUGGCUCCCAGCCGUUGAGAAGGAGAAAAGGAGGCCAGGAAGGGCCCUUGGGUGGUGAAACAGGGAUGGCCCUCUAUCGUCCUUUCUAUGGUCGAACAAGAAGGAAAGAAGAAUAGGAGGAUGAAGAAGAAAGGAAGGAAGACUUACUGGUCGAAAGCUCAAGCUGAGACUGUGGUUGGAAGGAUUGGUAGGCUUUCGUGAUGGCAAAAUGACGAUCCGCGAGGUGAGACACAAGGUCUUUGUAGGAUGGAAGAAGUAAAUGGUAAGGAAGAGAAUGGAACGUUGGUGGAGGUGGGGGAGGGGGGUGAUCCAUUUAAAUAGGGAGCAAUGGUGGUGAGGGAAGGUAGUGGCUUUCCAGGGGGCAGUAGAGAAGGGAGGCGAUUGCUGCUGACCAAUGGCGAGUCCCAAGGUUGACGCCACUAUUUAUGGCAUAUGCUGCACUCCUUGGUGGGCAUCACACUCUUUGGUGGUGCUACAUUCUUUUUUUUUUUUUGUCUAAUUUUGAAUUGAUAUUUGCAAAUCAUUUGCCGAUCUCCCUUUGGGUGAAGUUGGCAAAUCACCUGCAGACUUUUGCCGAAGUCGGCAAUUAAUUUGCCGACUUUGGCUGAAGACCAAGUUAGAGCUGGUUUCAUUGGACUGGCUCUCACAGGUUUUAUAGCAUGUGAGUAAGGCUGUGACUGAAAUAUAUAACACAUAUGAUGAGUGUGAGAAGUAUGAAAUUAGUUCUGAGCUUCAUGUGACGUAGAUAUCAUCCACAUGUUUUUUGAGUAUCUCUUUUGUUUUUAUUUCUCUCAAAUACUCUCCUACUUAUGAAACCACCAUAAUAGUUCUCUGGAGGCUUUUGUCCUGAAGACUUUUAGACAUUUCAAGAUAUGCCAUUGCUGGUAACCAUUUGUGUUGCACUUGUAUUUCAAUUUUCUGAGCACUUUGAGUUAGUGCAAAAAAUUACGCUGUCAAUGCGCCAGGAAAACUAUUUUCUGCAAUGCCAAUUUCUGAAGAUGCAAAACUUAUUUAUAAACUUAACCACUGAGUAUUCUGACGAUACAUAAUUACUGAUUAUCCUUAUUUCAUGAAAUUGAAUUCUUAUACAUGACAAUUCUUCAAGUCCUCAUGUAUCCUUUUUUUCCAAAAUCAUUUGAAUUGAUGAAUUCAUUUGACUACUGCAGGGGAAUAUAUAUAUAUAUAUAUAUAUAUAUAUAUAU
rnacentral:lncRNA from 1 species